UACAGAGGUCCCAAGCGUUGUUCGGAUUCACUGGGCGUAAAGGGUGCGUAGGCGGUCGGGUAAGUCUGAUGUGAAAUCUCGAAGCCUAACUUCGAAACUGCAUUGGAUACUAUUCGGCUAGAGGAGUGGAAGGGAGACUGGAAUGCUCGGUGUAGCAGUGAAAUGCGUAGAUAUCGAGCGGAACACCAGUGGCGAAGGCGAGUCUCUGGACACUUCCUGACGCUGAGGCACGAAAGCCAGGGGAGCAAACAGG
rnacentral:rRNA from 1 species